CCUACGGGUGGCAGCAGUGAGGAAUAUUGGUCAAUGGGCGCGAGCCUGAACCAGCCAAGUCGCGUGAGGGAUGACGGCCCUACGGGUUGUAAACUUCUUUUGCCGGGGAGUAACGGGCGUCACGUGUGGCGCCACUGAGAGUACCCGGAGAUAAGGCAUCGCCUAACUCCGUGCCAGCAGCCGCGGUAAUACGGGGGAUGCGAGCGUUAUCCGGUUUUUUUGGGUUAAAGGGGUGCGUGGGCGGAUCGUUAAGUCAGCGGUAAAGGCCCGGGGCUAAACCCCGGCGAGCCGUUGAAACUGGCUGUCUUGAGAUGUCGAGAGGUAUGCGGAAUGCGCAGUGUAGCGGUGAAAUGCUUAGAUAUUGCGAAGAACUCCGAUUGCGAAGGCAGCAUACCGGAGGCGAUCUGACGCUGAGGCACGAAAGCGUGGGUAUCGAACAGGAUUAGAUACCCUGGUAGUC
rnacentral:rRNA from 1 species